AAGACUAUAGACCUGCGGAGUACCUGCGGAGGGAUCAUUACAUGGCGGAGGAGGUGGGCACCUAGUAAAAACAAAACCCUAGGUGUGUUGCCUACCACGCUUUCUACCCUUGUCUAUUUGCACCUUUUGUCGUUCCCUCGGUGGGUCUUGAACCUGCCGGCGGCAACUUUCAAAAACCUUUUGUAGUUAGUAUCUAAUUCUUCUGAUCAAAUAUUCAAUCGUUACAACUUUUAGCAAUGG
rnacentral:misc_RNA from 1 species